rnacentral:snRNA from 1 species
UGGUGUGAGGGAAAUCUGGUUGUGACAUCUGUCACCCCACUGAUUGCCAGGGUUGAUUUGGCUGGUCUGACUGGCUAGGCAAGUGUCCUCUUCCUCCCUCACCUGUCCAUGAGCAUCCCACCUGAAGCUGUGCCCUUGUUAGAAGAGGACAGCCAUUAGAUGAGAUGCUAUUCUGUAUAGGGGAGCCUAAAGGAAAAAAAAAAUGCAUAAAACCUCCCAAGGCCUACUGUAUAGGGACAUGCCGAAUGAGUUCAUCUCUUGUGCAUUUCAUACGAAAAUGACAUUUUCAUCAUUUUUGUUUGAAAUGCGAAAACUGCAUUUUUCAACGUCUA